UACGUAGGGUGCGAGCGUUAAUCGGAAUUACUGGGCGUAAAGCGUGCGCAGGCGGUUUUGUAAGCCAGAUGUGAAAUCCCCGGGCUCAACCUGGGAAUGGCAUUUGGGACUGCAAGGCUGGAGUACGGCAGAGGAGACUGGAAUUCCUGGUGUAGCAGUGAAAUGCGUAGAGAUCAGGAGGAAUACCGAUGGCGAAGGCAGGUCUCUGGGCUGAUACUGACGCUCAUGCACGAUAGCGUGGGGAGCAAACAGG
rnacentral:rRNA from 1 species